UUAAGCUAAAGACUGUAAAACUUUGCAUUGAUUUGUAAAGAUUAGAGAUUAAUUGAUUGCUUAAAGAAGUAAUUUGUUCACAUAUUAUUUAAGAAAUUAUUUUAUUUUAUUUAUUUGUAUCCUGCCUUUAUUAUUUCUACAAAUAAUGCAAGGUCGAGAACAUAUUCAUCAUACUUUCCUCCUCUAGAUUGUGAGAAUCACGAAAUUGGAAGCGACCUCAGUGAUUACCUAUUCUAGUCCAAGUCCUCUGAGCAUUUCUGACAGAUGACUGUCCAGCCUGUUUCAAGUGACUCAAUCAGAUCCCGCCCUAAUUCACUGAACUAAGAAAGAAGCAAAGAUUUCAUACUAGUUAAAAGAAGGAGACAGCCCCAAUUAUAUGGAUUGCAGACUGAAAAGACAAGACACACAAAAGAAAGGAAAUUGAGGAAGCAACUCAGUUCUUCAAGACAGCUUGAGGCUUUGAUAUUUAUAUAUAGAUUGUGCUUAAAAAAUAAUUGCUGAGUUAUCUGUUAACUGUCAUGUGCUUGUCAUAGGAAUAUUCUUUGAAAAGGGAGAGCAGAAUGAAGUACCAAGUAGGAUUUAACAUCAGAAAUGAAUCAUGUUAACCUGAUCUAAAGUCAGGUUGGGCAGCCCACAAAAUGUUUAUUGAAAUGUACAAGCUACUGUAUUUUUACAACUGAAAGUAAUGAACAUAAUGAUUCAUCUUAUUAUUUUCUCUACAAUAAUAAUGCUGUGAAGUGGGUUGGGCUGAAGGACAAUGAUGGCCCAAUGUCAGCCAAAAAGGACUAGAGCUCAUAGUCUCUUCGUUUCUAUUUAACACUUUAACACAGGAUUUCCCAACCUUAGCAGUAUUAAGAUGUGUUUCCCCAGCCAACACCAUUGCCCUAACCACUAUGCCAAACUGGUUCUCAGUUGCAUUAAUGCUGUAGUGGUGCUUCCUAUAGUUGAAAAUCAAAAGUUUUUAGAAAAGCGAAUUCACUUGAAAAGAAAUUUUCAGAUGGAUGGUCUACUCCAGAGUAGAUGGUUCUUUCCAAAUGGUCUGGGUUCAGCUAGUUUGCAAAACCUACUUUGCAGACCCUAAUGACCUUCAAGCCAUUUCUUUUUUCCCUGAAAAUUUUUACUCUUUUCUUAGGUUUGCUCACCAAAUAGCUGCCACUGGAAAGAAGGUUGCUCUUAUCACCCAAUGGGUAACUUAUAGAAGUUUUAAGUUCUAGUUGCCAUUUUAUUGUUUUUAUAUUAAUUAUUUUGGGAUUUUAUCCUUUGUAUACUGCCCAGAGUCACAAAGAUUUUGUCAGGUGGCCAUAUAAAUACAAAAAUAAAUCAAUACAUCUUUCUCAAGUCUUAGAUUAGGUCUAACAUUUUAAGCAUCUAUUCUACUGGGAAUGCCUUGAUUGAUUUUGAUCCUAGACCACUUACAAUUUUAGUAAAGCCUGCAAGCCAGGAAGUAUUUUUUUUAUUGUAUGUCAAGAUAGAAAUGCUAAUAUCUUUUGUGAUUUUAAAAAGUUAGUUUUCCUUUAUUGAAAAAUAAAUUUCUUCCAAAAAUUUUGGAAAAGAAAUGGUGAACUAAAGAUGGUUCCACUUUUACAAGUGUAGCAUGUACACUAAAAUAAUGCCUCUCUAGACAAGGAGAGCAUUUGAGAUUGCCUACAAGUUCUCCAUACAGUUGCUUCUCAUGAGGAGACUGCAAGGCAGCAGUCUGCAAUAGUUUAGAGCUCUGGGAAACAAAGGAAUAACUAUUUUGCUCAAUCCAUGGUUGACACCUUCAAAAGAACACUAGAUUUACACACUUUCUUUUCUAAACCUUUCGGAAAUUGCUUGUUAGACUUCUGGUAUUCUGUCACGGUGAGACGGGAUGCAGGAAGGCAGAGCUCUGCCUCCUGAGCCCAAUUUUGCCCUGUUGAGGGCCCUGGAAAGGGCCUAAAGUUGCCCCGAAGAGGCAAUGAAGGCGGGGUGCCUUGUCGAUCAUGAAGAGACGGUGGUCUCUCUGUUCGAUCCAAGGAAAGCCCUCUAAACCAGCAAGGAAAAGACCAGCCACACCUCUGCGGCCGGCGAUUAGCUGCUGACAACCGAACAACAAAAGCUUUAAUUAGCACACUGAAAGCAGCAUGUUUGGACUGGGUCAGAAUAUUGAUCUUUUCUUUACUAUUUUACAACUGAAUUUCCUGGAAAGGCUCCCAAGAAGCUUAAAACUUCCAGAUGUAAAUGGAAGCGGCAUUUAAAUUUGUUUAUAGGGGACAGAAAUACACAAUACUGAAGUGAAAGUAAUACAAAGCUACAGUUUUGAUAAA